AUACGUAGGUGGCGAGCGUUAUCCGGAAUUACUGGGCGUAAAGCGCACGCAGGCGGUCUUUUAAGUUUGACGUGAAAGCUCCCGGCUUAACUGGGAGAGGUCGUUGAAUACUGGGAGACUUGAGACGAUGAGAGGGGUGCAGAAUUCCCGGUGUAGUGGUGGAAUGCGUAGAUAUCGGGAGGAAUACCAGUGGCGAAAGCGGCACCCUGGCGUCGGCCUGACGCUCAUGUGCGAAAGCGUGGGGAGC
rnacentral:rRNA from 1 species